UUUAGUCCUCUGCCGGAUGUAGACUCUAGAGUGCCUGAGGAGCAACGGCUUGGUUAGUGAGUUCGUAAUCCCAAGUCAAUCAGUCUCUUCUUGAACUAGGUCUUAAUCUUAUGGACUAGCGAGAGGAUCUACCUUGGUCUUCUCAUAAGCAAACUCACAUCUAGAUCUAAAUCA
rnacentral:rRNA from 1 species